GAUGAACGCUGGCGGCGUGCCUAAUACAUGCAAGUCGAGCGAACAGAUAAGGAGCUUGCUCCUUUGACGUUAGCGGCGGACGGGUGAGUAACACGUGGUUAACCUACCUAUAAGUCUGGGAUAACUUCGGGAAACCGGAGCUAAUACCGGCUAACAUUUUGAACCGCAUGGUUCUAUAGUGAAAGAUGGUUUUUCUAUCACUUAUAGAUGGACCCGCGCCGUAUUAGCUAGUUGGUAAGGUAACGGCUUACCAAGGCGACGAUACGUAGCCGACAUGAGAGGGUGAUCGGCCACACUGGAACUGAGACACGGACCAGACUCCUAAGGGAGGCAGCAGUAGGGAAUCUUACGCAAUGGGCGAAAGCCUGACGGAGCAACGCCGCGUGAGUGAUGAAGGGGUUCGGAUCGUAAAACUCUGUUAUUAGGGAAGAACAAAUGUGUAAGUAACUGUGCACGUAUUGACGGUACCUAAUCAGAAAGCCACGGCUAACUACGUG
rnacentral:rRNA from 1 species